GUGAAUUUUGGAAUGUAAGCUCUAGUUGAAGUUCAGUCUUGUUGGGAAAAUAUAAUAAUUUUGAAUUUUGAAAUAUAAGCUUUAGUUUAGUUGAAAUUCAUGGGUGUGAAAUUGAGUCUUAAUGUGAAACCAUUUGAUAGUUUUAAAGAUAUUUUCUGCCGCUCUAGGAAUUAUAAAUCUAAUGCUCUUUAUUUUUCUAAAUUCGACAAAAAGAUGUUCCAUCCACAUAGUAACCAUUGGAAAAUAAAAAUAUGUAUUUUGGGUAGCUAAAUACCAAAAUCUGCAUUUGCCUUAAUGGUUACAGUUGCAAAUGUGAUAUGUUUUGCAUCAAAACUAUCAAUUAAGUUUUUCUGUAUGCAGUCAAAAAGAAAAUGUCGCCGA
rnacentral:misc_RNA from 1 species